rnacentral:lncRNA from 1 species
GUCGGGCAAGCAUAUCUGGUAAGGUUUUGGUCGCCCUGACUUCAGAUACGACCCUAUCCGCAUCAGCUCUGCCAGCGCUGUCAGUUGCCCUAGAAAGCCUUUACUGGCCACAACAAACAUUUAUUCUAGAUGAUGAAGCAUGAUCUAGCGAACACAAUGCUACAGUCCCGACAGGUUCCGAAGUCCUCGAUCAUCGGCGGUCCUUGCUAUAGCAAAUAGGCAGUCUGAGGCGCCCGCGCACUCCGCUGCGAAGUAGUCCGCAGCGGAAUACUCUCGUAUGCGGCCUACGAGACUUUUGAC